rnacentral:rRNA from 1 species
UAGCGUAGGGUGCAAGCGUUGUCCGGAAUUAUUGGGCGUAAAGAGCUCGUAGGCGGUUUGUCGCGUCUGGCUGUCGAAAACGCGAGGCUCAACCUCGCGCCUGCAGUGGGUGACGGGCAGACUGGAGUGCGGUAGGGGAGAAUUGGAAUUCCUGGUGUAGCGGUGGAAUGCGCAGAUAUCAGGAGGAACACCGAUGGCGAAGGCGAUCUCUGGGCCGUAACUGACGCUGGAGGAGCGAAAGCGUGGGGAGCAAACAGG